UACGGAGGAUGCGAGCGUUAUCCGGAUUUAUUGGGUUUAAAGGGGGCGUAGGCGGACUGUCAAGUCAGCGGUAAAAUUGAGAGGCUCAACCUCUUCCCGCCGUUGAAACUGGUGGUCUUGAGUGGAUGAGAAGUACGCGGAAUGCGUGGUGUAGCGGUGAAAUGCAUAGAUAUCACGCAGAACUCCGAUUGCGAAGGCAGCGUACCGGCAUCCAACUGACGCUGAGGCACGAAAGCGUGGGGAUCAAACAGG
rnacentral:rRNA from 1 species